UAGCACAUUGAUGGUUUACCCUGG
rnacentral:piRNA from 1 species